GCGGGACACACCAUCUCAGAGAGAGAGAGAAGGUCAUUGACUUCUCCAAACCCUUCAUAACCCUGGGCAUCAGCAUAAUGUACACAGCACAUAUGGUGGUUUUUCACACUGAUCAUAGUGUCCUCCAACACGGCCACCUUCCUCACUGUCCAGAGGAUGGAGGCUCCCAUUGAGUCAGCGCACGACCUGGCAGACCAGACCAACAGAGUAUGGCACCAUGCAGGGAGGCUCAACCAUGGCCUUCUUUCAGAACUCGCGGUACCAAACCUACCAGCGCAUGUGGAACUUCAUUCACACCAAUUAACCCAGUGUGUUUGUGAAGAGCACGGAGGAAGGCUUCGACCGGGUGCUCAACUCCAACUACCUGCUGGAGAGCACCAUGAAUGAGUACUACCGCCAACGCAACUGUAACCUCACCCAGAUAGGAGGCCUGCUGGACACCAAGAGCUACGGCAUUGGCAUGCCACAAGCUCUCCUUGUGUACAGAGAUGCUGAGGGCUCUCCAUGUGAUCCAGCUGUGUGAGGACAGUAAUGGCACUGUGUGGUUUACGAGGCCCAGGGACAUUACUACAGACACUUCCAGAGGAGCGCAGGCCCGGGACAGCCGCUUGCACCCUCAGUAACGGCAUGUGUGGAAUGGGCAACAGUAGCAGCAGUCCUAUGGCACCUCUGUCUCAGACGGGUACAGGAAGCCAUUUUGGCUCCGCGUGGCUGUGCUCACGUCCACAUAAGCCCAGGGGAUAUAAAGGACUGCAGGUGCAACCACCACUACCCAGAGAACACUCACCAGAUCUCAGAGGAGAAUGUGU